AGAGUUUGAUCCUGGCUCAGGACGAACGCUGGCGGCGUGCUUAACACAUGCAAGUCGAACGAAGAGCGAUGGAAGCUUGCUUCUAUCAAUCUUAGUGGCGAACGGGUGAGUAACGCGUAAUCAACCUGCCCUUCAGAGGGGGACAACAGUUGGAAACGACUGCUAAUACCGCAUACGAUUUGACCUCGGCAUCGAGGAUAGAUGAAAGGUGGCCUCUAUUUAUAAGCUAUCACUGAAGGAGGGGAUUGCGUCAGAUUAGCUAGUUGGAGGGGUAACGGCCCACCAAGGCGAUGAUCAGUAGCCGGUCUGAGAGGAUGAACGGCCACAUUGGGACUGAGACACGGCCCAGACUCCUACGGGAGGCAGCAGUGGGGAAUCUUCCGCAAUGGACGAAAGUCUGACGGAGCAACGCCGCGUGAGUGAUGACGGCCUUCGGGUUGUAAAGCUCUGUUAAUCGGGACGAAAGGCCUUCUUGCGAAUAGUUAGAAGGAUUGACGGUACCGGAAUAGAAAGCCACGGCUAACUACGUGCC
rnacentral:rRNA from 1 species